CUUGCAGGGAACAUGCAGAAAAUAUGGACCCUUCUGUGCCUGAUGGCUGUUCCCCUAGGUGUGCCGUCUGAUCUGACACUUGAGCAAUCAGGACUAAACCUGCUGAAGACUGGGGAGACACUGUCCCUCACCUGCACUGUCACUGGCGGCUCUGUCUCUAGUAGUUACUACUGGCAUUGGAUCCACCAGCCUCCUGGGAAAUUUUUACAGUGGAUGGGGUACUGGGAAGGGAGCGCAUACUACAACUCAGCUUUCCAGGGCCGCAUCUCCAUCACUGUUGACCUAGCCAAGAACCAGUUCUCCCUGCAGCUGAACUCCGUGACCACGGAGGACACUGCCAUGUAUUACUGUGCAAGAAACACAGUGGAGAACUUCAGUGUGAGUCCAGACAUAAACCUCCCUGCGGGUGUACUUUUGGCCAGCAGGGGGCGACCAUGA